UUAAUACAUGUGAGUCGAGGGGCAGCGGAUCCCUCCGGGGAUGCCGGCGACCGGCGAACGGGUGAGUAACACGUAUGGAACCUACCCUUAACUGGGGAAUAGCCUUGAGAAAUCGAGGGUAAUACCCCAUAUCAUCUGAAAGAGGCAUCUCUUUCAGAUGAAAGCUCCGGCGGUUAAGGAUGGCCAUGCGGUCCAUUAGCUUGUUGGUGAGAUAACCGCUCACCAAGGCUACGAUGGAUAGCUGAUCUGAGAGGAUGAUCAGCCACAUUGGCACUGAGACACGGGCCAAACUCCUACGGGAGGCAGCAGUAGGGAAUCUUGGUCAAUUGGCGAAAGCCAGAACCAGUCAUGCCGCGUGCAGGAUGAAGGCCCUACGGGUCGUAAACUGCUUUUAUUCGGGAAGAAAAAGCCUGUUUCCACAGACCUUGACGGUACCGAUUGAAUAAGGACCGGCCAACUCCGUGCCAGCAGCCGCGGUAAUACGGAGGGUCCAAGCGUUAUCCGGAUUCACUGGGUUUAAAGGGUGCGCAGGCGGCCAAGUAAGUCAGUGGUGAAAGCCUUCGGCUCAACCGGAGAAUUGCCAUUGAAACUACUUGGCUUGAGUGCAGCAGAGGUAGGCGGAAUGUAGCAUGUAGCGGUGAAAUGCAUAGAUAUGCUACAGAACACCGAUAGCGAAAGCAGCUUACCACACUGUAACUGACGCUGAGGCACGAAAGCAUGGGUAGCAAACAGGAUUAGAUACCCUGGUAGUCCAUGCCGUAAACUUUGAACACUCGGAGUUUGCCACCUAGUGGUAAGCUCCCUAGCGAAAGCGUUAAGUGUUCCACCUGGGGAGUAUGGUCGCAAGGC
rnacentral:rRNA from 1 species